rnacentral:rRNA from 1 species
AUUGAACGCUGGCGGUAUGCUUAACACAUGCAAGUCGAACGAUGAGAAAGAGCUUGCUCUUUCGAUUAGUGGCGGACGGGUGCGUAACGCGUAGGAAUCUACCUAUUAGUGGGGGACAACUUAGGGAAACUUAAGCUAAUACCGCAUACGCCCUAAGGGGGAAAGAAGGGGAUCGCAAGACCUUUUGCUAAUAGAUGAGCCUGCGUAGGAUUAGCUAGUUGGUGGGGUAAAAGCUCACCAAGGCGACGAUCCUUAACUGGUUUGAGAGAAUGAUCAGUCACACUGGAACUGAGACACGGUCCAGACUCCUACGGGAGGCAGCAGUGGGGAAUAUUGGACAAUGGGCGAAAGCCUGAUCCAGCAAUACCGCGUGUGUGAAGAAGGCCUUAGGGCUGUAAGGCACUUUCAAUUGGAAGGAAAACCUCGAAGCUAAUACCUUCGAGUUUGACAUUACCUUUAGAAGAAGCACCGGCUAACUCCGUGCCAGCCGCCGCGGUAAGAC